GUCAGUAUGGCCGAGUGGUUAAGGCGACAGACUCGAAAUCUGUUGAGAUUUGCCUGGCAGCGGUUCGAAUCCGCUUACUGACGCCA
rnacentral:tRNA from 1 species